rnacentral:rRNA from 1 species
UACGUAGGGGCCUAGCGUUGUCCGGAAUUAUUGGGCGUAAAGAGCUCGUAGGCGGUUCGGCAAGUCGGAUGUGAAAUCUCCACGCUCAACGUGGAGGGGCCAUUCGAAACUGCCGUGACUCGAGUCCGGUAGGGGAGUGUGGAAUUCCCGGUGUAGCGGUGAAAUGCGCAGAUAUCGGGAGGAACACCGGUGGCGAAGGCGCCGCUCUGGGCCGAAACUGACGCUGAGGAGCGAAAGCAUGGGUAGCAAACAGG